AAUUACGCUUACAGUUCCUUUAAAUAACAUUUGGUAAGUUUACAAUCAACAAAAUUAUUUUGAAGGGAGGGUUCUCAGAUAUUCAGAGUUUGGAGCGUAGCGGGAAAGAUUUAUUAGGCGUUUCCUUGAUAUUUCCUGGGUUUAUUCACCGCAAUAAAGUCGGGAUGGGCCCUUGUACCGACCGGGAAAGCCAAGUGGUGGUGCAGGGGGGGGGGGGCUACCCCGGUCCGGCUCUCUCUCUCUUUUCUCAGUCACAGCUGACUCAUCUUUGUUUUGCCGUGUAUUGACCAAGAAUCUCAAGAACUGUGAUCUCUGAUGGAUCUUAGAAUAUGAGAGAAUUGAACUCUAUAUAUCUUCUCCUGAUCUUCUUAAACCUAUGUGUUGGGUUUCCUAGGUUACAGUUUGAUGGAGGGGGUAGAGCCAGGACGGAUAAAUGUGAAACAUUAAACUGCAAUCCUGAGACUAGAGUAAAGAGGAAUAUUAUUGGUAAUAGUGAAUUUAAUUAUCUAACUAAGUUUGGAUAUUUACCACAAUCUAUUCUUGAGACUGGAGCUUUAACAACAGAUGAUCAGCUCCGUAGUGCUAUCAGGAACCUUCAAGCAUUUGGUGGAUUGGAGCAGACUGGAGCUGUUGAUGCUCCGACCAGGAAUCUUAUGAGCAGGAAGAGGUGCGGGGUUCAGGACGUUUCUCUUGGAUUCACGAACAGGAGAAAACGUUAUUCUCUGCAAGGGCAAAGAUGGCACACCACCAACCUAACCUGGUCUCUCCUGCGUAUGGAGUACAUGAAUGAAUUGUCAAGACAAGAUAUUAUUGAAGAACUCAACAAAGCGCUCAAGGUUUGGUCCUCAAAUACUCAGCUUAGGUUCAACUUCCUGGAGAGAAGUGAGUUGGCGGAUAUUCAAGUUUCCUUCCAUAGAGGUUAUCACGGGGACGGAUAUCCAUUCGAUGGUAUCGGAGCUGUUCUAGCUCAUGCAUUCUUCCCUGGUCCGGGAAGGGGUGGAGAUGCUCAUUUCGACGAGGACGAGAACUGGACUAACCAGGGACGGUCUGAUGGAGAAGUUACGAGUCUUUAUGCUGUAGCUCUUCAUGAGUUUGGGCAUUCUCUAGGAUUGUCUCACAGCUCAGUAUCUGGGUCUGUAAUGUAUCCGUGGUAUGCUAGCACCAGUCCAAUGCUCUACCUACCUCAGGAUGACCGGGAAGCAAUUCAACAGCUCUAUGGAUCGCCCAGGCCUGGAACUAUUCCGGAGAAAGAUGAUAGACGGACAACAAUUUCAAUUCCUGAGAUAACUCUAGCUCCUUUAACUCCAGUCCGACCCACCCCUUCCCCUGAUAAAUCCGUCCCGGUAAAGUGUGAAACUAGUUUUGAUGCCGUGGCUGUUAUCCGGAGUGAGAUGUGGGCGUUUAAGGGAAGAUACUUCUGGAGGAUAAACAAGGAGGGAGGAACCAGAGAGGACCCUGUAGAGAUUGGUUCCUUCUGGUACGGUCUCCCCAGCAGUAUAGAUCAUGUGGAUGCAGUUUAUGAGAAACAGAAUCAUGAUAUCGUUUUCUUCGUCGGGAAGAAGUUCUACAUUAUGUCAGGGAAUUCACAGCUCAAACAUGGACCUCAACCUUUAACGAGAUUAGGUCUUCCGGAGUCCUUGGAGAAGGUGGACGGUGCAAUGAAGUGGGGAUACAAUCAGAAAACUUAUUUUUUCUCAGGAGAUAUGUACUGGAGGUUUGAUGACGAUGAGAACAUGGUUGAGCUGGAUUAUCCCCGAGAUAUAUCAAUGUGGAAGGGAGUCCCUUACCAUAUAGACGCUGUAUUCCAAUAUACAGACAAGAAAACAUAUUUCUUCAAGAACCGUAGUUUCUGGGAGUUUGAUGAUAUCAGGAUGGAGGUGGUGACAAGAACUCCAACUCCUGUAGGAGAACAUUGGUUCCAUUGCCCUAAAGAUCUUUAUGAUCCUGUCACAGGAUCUAAAUCUAAACUAUCUAGUCAAAUUUUCAUUUUUAUUUUUUUAUUUAGUUGGAUAGUACUGCUGUAGAUUAGACACCGAACUCCGCUUUAUAGAACGAGAAAGAAGUUGAUUAACGAGUUAAACAUAUAGUUAAAAUACUUAUCGUUUCUGACUUCAGGCAUUACUUACAUGUGAAAAUGUAUCGUUUUUUAGCCUACUGCAAUUGUGUGUCAUUUGUAUAUCUAAUAUAUUUAUGUAUCACAGUUACAUUUACACAUUACACCAUUUUAUAAUCAUGAAUUAAUAAUGUAUAACUAUACACAAUUUACACCUUUUUGUAAUCAUGAAUCAAGAAUGUACAACUAUUUGCAAUCCGUAAUCAAUAAUGCAUUACUAAGCAGAUAACACCUAUUUGUAAUAAUGAAUUACUAUUGUUUAACGAUACUUUUACAUCUACGUGAUUGAGUAAGUGUGUAUGAUAAUAUACACAUUACAACUAUCUGUAACUAUGUAUAUGUAACCUUGAAUCAAGUAAAAAAAACUACACAUUACACCUAUCCGAUAUCAUGAAUGUAGUUUGUAAAACUAAUUUCCAAAUUUGGAUUAGAAAAAUUGGUGGCAAGUACUCAAUUUCUUAACUCAAUUAGAACUGAAAAAGUCAAAACAAUUAAUUGCCAAAAUGUAUGUAAAAUCAAAGAUCUAAUCUUUUCAACUUAACGUGUUAAACAAAUGCUCCAAUCUAUUUCAUGCUAGUUUUGUUUUUAGUUAAAAAUUUCACUUUUAUGCUAAAUGAAAAUGCGUGAAAAAAAAACAGAUAUUAAUGCUAAUUUUUUUUAUUGUUUUUACUAAUGUGAUAUUUCUGCUUGUAAGGAAAACCUGGUAUCUUGGCCUAAGACUUUGAACCCGCUUUUAUGUUUUGCAAUAAAAUUUUAAAUUCA
rnacentral:misc_RNA from 1 species